UCCGGUUGUACCUGCCGGACCCGACCGCUUACGGGGUGGGGCUAAGCCAUGGGAGUCGUACGCCCCGGUAACCGGGGCGUGGCGGACGGCUGAGUAACACGUGGCUAACCUACCCUCGGGACGGGGAUAGUCCCGGGAAACUGGGGCUAAUCCCCGAUAGGUGGAGCGGCCUGGAAGGGUCCCUCCCACCGAAAGGGCGUCGCGGGGAUGUCCCGCGCCGCCGCCCGAGGAUGGGGCCACGGCCCAUCAGGUAGUUGGCGGGGUAAGGGCCCGCCAAGCCUAUAACGGGUAGGGGCCGUGAGGGCGGGAGCCUCCCAGAUGGGCCCUGAGACAAGGGCCCAGGCCCUACGGGGCGCACCAGGCGCGAAAACUCCGCAAUGCGGGCAACCGUGACGGGGCCACCCCGAGUGCCCCGAAGAGGGGCUUUUCCCCGCUGUAGGAAGGCGGGGGAAUAAGCGGGGGGCAAGUCUGGUGUCAGCCGCCGCGGUAAUACCAGCCCCGCGAGUGGUCGGGACGGUUAUUGGGCCUAAAGCGCCCGUAGCCGGCCUGGUAAGUCCCCCUCUAAAUCCCCGGGCUCAACCCGGGGGUUGGGGGGGAUACUGCCAGGCUAGGGGGCGGGAGAGGCCGAGGGUACUCCCGGGGUAGGGGCGAAAUCCUAUAAUCCCGGGAGGACCACCAGUGGCGAAGGCGCUCGGCUGGAACGCGCCCGACGGUGAGGGGCGAAAGCCGGGGGAGCGAACCGGAUUAGAUACCCGGGUAGUCCCGGCUGUAAACGAUGCGGGCUAGGUGUUGGGCGGGCUUAGAGCCAGCCCAGUGCCGCAGGGAAGCCGUUAAGCCCGCCGCCUGGGAAGUACGGCCGCAAGGCUGAAACUUAAAGGAAUUGGCGGGGG
rnacentral:rRNA from 1 species